rnacentral:rRNA from 1 species
UACGUAGGGUGCAAGCGUUAAUCGGAAUUACUGGGCGUAAAGCGUGCGCAGGCGGCCACGUAAGUCGGAUGUGAAAGCCCCGGGCUCAACCCGGGAAGUGCAUUCGAUACUGCGUGGCUUGAGUAUCGGAGAGGUUGGUGGAAUUCUCGGUGUAGAGGUGAAAUUCGUAGAUAUCGAGAGGAACACCGGUGGCGAAGGCGGCCAACUGGACGAAUACUGACGCUGAGGUGCGAAAGCGUGGGGAGCAAACAGG